rnacentral:lncRNA from 1 species
GAGCAGAAUACAUAUUGUCUGUCUGUAAUGGUUUUUAACGAAGCAGAAAAAUGCACUUGAAAAUGUAUUUGAUGCAGUCUGAGGUGCCAGAAUUUGAAUUUGCACUGUGGUUAGUCCUAGUUAUCUUUAUCGUCAGUUCUGAAACAUUGCUUAGCACUGCACCUAAUCAAAACAACCACAGAGAAAAUGUUCCUUUCACCUGGCCAGUCACAAUGCACAUUCCCUUUAAAGGAAAACUGGGUGGGGCAUGAGUCAAACUGCCAUUUGUAAUGUAGUGAAGUAGAUUCUGGGGUAGGAUUUUACAUGAUGUCCACAAAUGCACCACUAACAUCCACACCUUCCCAGCCGACAAUUAGCAGGCUUAUAAGAAACAGCUGUGCUUCACUACCAGAAGGAGGCAUUUGGCAGUCUUGUCCAUCCAAGGUGGCUGCGAGCAUUAGGCAGUUAAGCGCUGCAGAUCUCUCAAGGAAAGCUACUCAGUAUUGCCCUUUAGAGAGUGGUUUGCAUUAUACUGCUGCUGUCUUGUCAUAUGCUGUUUUGUUUGUUACGCAAUACUUUUAUAACGAACAGUGAUUUGGGGUGUAUUUGUUUUAUGUAGAUCUUUUACUAAUUUGUUUAACGUUUUAUGCUUUCUUUUAUUGCUUUGGUGGAGGUGCGGCCGCUUGUUGAGGGGCUAGGCACGUGAGGUGGAAUCCCCUCCCCGAUGCAUGCGAGCGUACACACCGUGCAUAGGUAGAUUACACCAUUUAGAGUUUAGUGUGAGUGAGGUCUGCAGUGAAAUCACACGGGUGAGUAAUUGGUGGCACCCUUGGGCAGUCCUCCCUGUAGGUUGCCUCCUCAAGUGGCCGGUCUCCACCAUUUUGUUUAGUUGCUCUUUUAUCAUACUGUGAUUGGUUUUUAGGGUAGCAUCGUGGUAGGGAGUCUGGUCGUUUUAAUCAUCGUUUUGUUAAUAAAGUGUUUUAAUUAUCUAUUUUGCCGUCUCAACCCUGCUACCUUAGGUGUCUUUUUGAUUUUAUAAUUUUAUGUUUUUAGUAGUAGUUCUUAAUAAACUUUGAUUUGUAAAAUUCAUCUGUCUCACCUCUGCCGUUAAUAACGAGUCUGUGGGCUUUGGUAGCCAGUGCAACACGUACAUUGGCUAGAGAAAUCUUUCCUGGGGUGUAACGCCCUCCCCCAGGUGGCAUUGUCAAUAUCUUAGUUACCGUCCCUGGUUAUUCCUCAAUCGCGACACCACAGUAAGACUGAUUUUCUCCAUAUCAUUGUUAUACAUGGAUGGGCUCCAGGUUUUUCUAGUUGUUCAUUUCUCUGAUAUUUUAUAUAUUUAUUGAUAUAUGCUUGCAUUUUCACAAUUAACUAAUACAUUAAUAUACACCGGUUGAAUUAUACAGCUGACCACAUAUAAACAUCCAUUUUUGUGUUUGUUCUAGGAGCUUUAUCUUCAAGUCAAGAUUUGACUAAACAAGCAGUGAUUGAGUAAGACUGGAGUCUAUAUA